UCUGCUGCAAAAAUUAAAUAAAAUUUAAAAAAAAACCAACAAGCCAACAAGCUACAAAAGCUCAAUAGUGAAGAUUAGUGUAUUAGAAAUUGCAUGGUGGCUCAUACCGGUCUUACCCAACAUGACUGACAAUUACUAUAAGCCAAAAGCAAAUGAAAUAAACUGAAAUAAAUGAAAUAAAUUUCCCUUUUCACGGUACAAGGGAAGGUUGUCGUGGUGUCCCAGUUAUUCUCAGCCCUCCUCCCCUUUUCCUGCCGCUCUGGGCUCUCCCCAAAGGCGUUUUAGGGUGGUUUGGGGAGCAGAGCGAGGGGCAGAUCUUGGGGGGAUUUUGGUGUUGAGGGUGUCAGGAGGAGCUGUUGGAGGGAUUUGGGUGUUGAGGGUGUCAGGAGGAGCUGUUGGAAGGAUUUGGGUGUUGAAGGUCUCAGGUGGCUCAGCCCUGCUGGGGCUGUGGGGUCGGUGCCUGCCUGGGGCUCCCUUUGAGGCAGGGGAGGAGAGGAUGGAGCUCCAGGCAGGUGAGGAGAGGAUGGGGACCCCAAGCAGGUGAGGAUGAAGCUCCAGGCAGGUGAGGACCCCAGGCAGGUGAGGAUGGGGGUCCCAGGCAGGUGAGGGCCCCAGGCAGGUGAGGAUGGGGGCCCCAGGCAGGUGAGGAGAGGAUGGGGGUCCCAGGCAGGUGAGGACCCCAAGCAGGUGAGGAUGCUCCAUUCUGGAUCUGCCCUGGCAGGUGAGGAUGUUCUGUGAUGGCUCAACCUGUAACUGCUCACCUGCACCCCUCAUCUGUAUCCCCUCACCUGUAACCACCUGUAACCCCAUAUCCUCUAACUCAUCCCUAACCCCUCACCUGUA